CCUCUCUCUCUCUCUCUCUCUCUCUAGAAUUUCUCUCUGAUAGAGAAGUGGAUAACUGCUGUUAUCCUGAAAAAUUGGACUCUCUCUACAAUCUCUCUUCUCUCUCUUAACUUCAAAAUAUCAGAAGAUCAGGCAAAGUUAAAAGUAAAUUGUCUUCUUUCCAUUUCCAAAAUCCUCUCACUCAAAUACUAUAAAAACAAUAUUUGCAGAGAUUCCAAGAUCAGAGACUUCCUCAAAAAUAUAGCCAAAAAAAUGGAUCUCACAAAUAUAGCAAAAAAAUCGUAAAAAAACGGAAACUUAAAAGGCGUGAUAAAAUAAUAAACAGAAUGGAUCUCACAAAUAUAGCAAAAAAUCGUAAAAAAACGGAAACUUAAAAGGCGUGAUAAAAAUAAUAAAAUGAAUUUACAGCUCAUGUCAAAUACAUGUUUGCAAAGCGAAAUUUCUUCCAAUUUUCAUGGAAGUUUCCGAAUUUUUUAUCCGAAAAGUUAAAAAAUCUUUGGAGGAACUGUAAGUUGUCGAAGCCUUGAAGUCCUGGGAUUAAUUGAAAACCAGAAGAGGCCAAAGUCUUUCUAUUUAAAGCUAAAGAAAUAAAAGAAAAACAACAAUCAAACAAUAAUGAAAAUAAAUCGGCUACGUGUGUACAUGAUUCACCGCGUUGUCCUUCUCUCUCUAAGAAUCCUUUUUG
rnacentral:lncRNA from 1 species